rfam:Triticum aestivum genome assembly, contig: Triticum_aestivum_CS42_TGACv1_scaffold_486513_6AS
AAACUACUCCCUCCGUUCGGUAUUACUUGUCGCAUAAAUGGACGUAUCUAGACGUAUUUUAGUACUAGAUACAUCCAUUUCCGAGACAAGUAAUUCCGAACGGAGGAAGUAUAUC